CAGGCACAGAUCCGCCGCCCAGGAGACUUCUAUCUUUUGCGUUCCUCUUUCCUGCGCCUCUAGCACGCGGGAUAGGGAAAUUCACCGAUGCCAAAGCCGCGCCGACGACGACGUGAUGGCGGCGGCGCUCGCGAGCUCACCUCCUUCCUUCCCGUCAUCUAGCGCCCACCACCGAUCUCCCCCACCGCGCCCUGACAUAUCCCCUUACGGGAUCCCCUGCCCUGCCGCCCAUGGUUAUGCACUCCGCCGUGCUCGACAACGCUAGAUCCGUGGCCUUGGACGACCUCCCCUCACCAAGUUAUUGGUUCCAGGAACAAUUCGUCCUACCCUCUCUCGUCUGCACUAGAUAGACUCUCUUUUUCUUGUUCGUUUUUAACCGGUCAUCUCUGCAUGUUUCUCUCAGAUCAUGAACCGCAUCGAUAGGUGGUGGAGGUGAGAUAAGAGGAGGAAGGCGAUUGGAGCGCAGUGCGCACCAUAAGCAUUAGCGACUCUGUCCUCGCCUCCUGGUCUAACAAUUCCUCCUGCCUUCUCUUUUAUGUUGUCAUAUCUACUAGCCGUGGUUGCCUUAUAGCACUUCACUUAUAUUGUUAAUUGGUAGUAAAUCACUAGGUUGGAGAACAUCUUUUUCUAAUGUAUCUGAUUCGAGUUUAUGAGAGAAUAAAAAAGCUGCUGCUUGUUAGGAUUGUUUUAGUGAUUGCCGUACUAUCUUUUUGAUGUUCCAUACAUUUUUAACCUGGUACUCAUUCUAUUGAUGUAUCAGUUCGUCGUUUUAUACUGAUAUCUAACUUUGAGACAACUGCAUGUAUGUAGCAGAUUACUCUGUCUUCUAUAUCGUGAUAGUACUACAGUUUAUCUUCUAUAUCAUGACAGAAUGCCUCGCUACUGAAAUAAUCUGUUUAUCUUCCUUCUAUAUCUUGACAUUACUGCAGCACCAAAAUAUACCAUGCCUACCUUUGCUAGCUCACGUAGUGCUCUUGCUGGCUAAUUCAUUGCUCUUAGUAUCCCUUCAACCUCUGUUUAUGCAUUUUUGCAUGUGUCUGCCUUAGGUAGCUUAGUGAGUGUACUUUCUUUUUAAUUAAUUCCUCUUGCUAGUGCCUAACUCUUAUUCACUCUUCCAUGCAUGUGCUUUAUAGAUGGGUAUAUUCCAUGCGUCAACCCUGGCUUCUGCACCCUAGUUGCAUUUUGAGUUUGCUGCACUUUAAACAGCAGCGGCACUGCCUUCUCUGAACUAUGUAAAUCUUCAGUAUUAUCCAUGUGAUUUUAUAGUCAAUGGUGCUAGCCUGCCAGGACAAGCUAUUACAUGUCGGUGUUUGUACUUUUUUUCAAUUGGUUAUGCAUGAUUUGUUGUAUACAUGUUCACCUAAUGUCUUAAUAUAUGUAGUUGGUUUAGAUAUUAGCGUGCCAAAUAUGUGAUUUUAUUUAUGUGAUUUGCUUUAUGUUGGGAAUCACACGGUUUCACGCUACUUCAAAUACGCUCUAUUUGGUCCUGCUUGACUGCGCCAAAACUUAUUUCAGUCCAUCCUUGUUUGGUUGUGUGCGAAAUCGACCAUCCUUGUUUGUGUUGCUCCCUGUUUGGUGCGAAAAUAUGCAGCCAGCUUCAUCUAUCAACUAGCAGUCCAUACAUUGUAGGUCACUGCUAUAUUUUGUUGAUACAAAUGCAAGUGUUGGCUUUUUUUUUCUGCUGAUUGAAACUUUCCUUCAUGUUGAUCUGGGAGGAGAAUGCCCCAGUUGAGGUUGCUGCUCAGGCUCCAGCUCCAACUCCGGUUCUUGGAGAGCCCACGGACUCGAUAUAAAGGGUCUGGAAACAAAGCAGAAAUGAUAGUCGCAUUGUUGGCUCGCCCUUUCUGAAGCUUGUUGUCCAAACCAGAUGGAUCUGUCCUCUACAGGCCUCGCCGUCCGCACAUGUUCCCAGAGCACUAUCAGCCAUGGUCUAUAAACACGAGAAGAUGUUGCGCUUUGACAAACUGAUGCGGUGGGAAACGAGUCUGUAGUGAAAGAAUGUUGCACUUCACUAGCGAACCCGGAGGGAGAAGUGGCGCUCAAGGUCACACAUUAUUUGGGAUACUGCAGUUGAUGUUGAAGCUGGAGUUAUGCUGGGAGACAGUUACUUGAAGCUCUUCGCAUGGUCAACCAGCGCUGCUACGGGAGCUCUAGGUUGAAGAAAUUUGAAGCUCCGGAAUUUGAAGCCUGGAGCUCCACAAAGCAGAUGCUACUUAUAAUUUGGCAUGUUAUAUUGUAGUAAGCAUAUCUGGUUGUAUGAACACUAUGUAAAGUCUGUAGUAAGAAUGCUUGUUACAUUAGAAAAGUUUCUCAUUCUUAUACUGUGAGAAAUAAGAACCUGAUG